AGUCUGUCAGAGUUAUUGGUGUCACUUCAUGAAAAAUUAUUGAGCAAAUUUCUAGUGGAAAAAACAGAAUUUUAAUUGUAUUUUUUCAUCGGUUCCUGAAUAACCGAUAUCAUUAAAACGCGGGUGGUAAUUUUAUAAUCAAGAAGAAUGUGUUUACAUUACUUGUAUAUCGAUCUGAUCUUAAUAAAUACUUUUAAAUCUCCUAUACGUUGAGCCAAUUCAAAAGCUAAUGUUUCUAAGUCAAUUCUAAUAUUAACUGAUCUAGAAAGUUGUUUUUAGAUCAGAUAAAAAAGAGACCUGAUCUAAAAAGUGUUCUCACAACAAAAUCCAAGAACCCUUUUCAGUUAAUGUCGCACGUGAGAACCCUGGCCUUUUCAGUUCUUUGAAAACCCUCUUCGCACGUCGCCGCUCUAAACUCUGGCCCAAAGCUCGUCGCAACGGUGUUUGCGUUUUCCACCGUCGUCAACAGCGGAGUUCCCUCCUUCAAAGCCCGUCGCACGCCGCUGCUCUGAACUCCGCCUCGAAGCCCGCCGUGAUGGCGUCUGCGUCUUCGUUGUCAUCAAAAGCGGAGUUCCCUCCUUUGAAACCCUUUGCUCUCUACUGUCUGCAUUCACGUUUCUGUUCUGUAAAUCAAACUUGGAUGAGUCUGAAUUUUCCAAAUUCCAUUCUAACGUGAAACAUUGGGACAUAGUUGGUAUCACUGGCCACUGGGUUUCUAGGUUGGUGUUGCUAUAAACUAUCAGUUUACUAUCAUGAUGACCUUCACCACAUAUUGCCCAAAAAAUUAUUCUGCUGGAACACCUGAGGUGGCUUUUGUUGCAACAUCGAACAGCUCUAGGAUCAAUGUAUUUAGAUGGUCAAUUGGGGAAAACAAUUGCAUCGCCUCCAAUGUCUCCUCGAGGAGUUAGACAGCUCUCUUUCUCCGUCAAAUCAUUGCUUGAGAAAUUGCAGAAUUCAUCACAAGUAGGUGUUAUACAUUGGCUCUUCAAAAGGACAGCCUGAUGCUAUUGUCCUUUUAUUAGUUGGCACAAUGAUGUAUUUGUUGUGGCUGAACCUGGAGAUCUCGCUGCGAAAUUUUUACAAAAUGUUAAAUUCAGUUUGUUGUCAACAAUGUCGACAUAAAUAAGUGAUACAAAAUUAAGUAUCUAUAAAGUAGAGCUUAAGUUGAAAACAUUUGAUAGAAAUUAAUUUUAUUAUGUCUUCGGCAAAUUGUGUCCAUCUUAAAACUUUGUUUUAAUUGGAUUUGUUUAGUUAUUUUCUUUCU